rnacentral:rRNA from 1 species
AGCGGACAGNAGGGAGCUUGCUCCCGGAUGUUAGCGGCGGACGGGUGAGUAACACGUGGGUAACCUGCCUGUAAGACUNNNGANNACCGGAGCUAAUACCGGAUAGUUCCUUGAACCGCAUGGUUCAAGGAUGAAAGACGGUUUCGGCUGUCACUUACAGAUGGACCCGCGGCGCAUUAGCUAGUUGGUGGGGUAAUNNNUCACCAAGGCGACGAUGCGUAGCCGACCUGAGAGGGUGAUCGGNNNNCUGGGACUGAGACACGGCCCAGACUCCUACGGGAGGCAGCAGUAGGGAAUCUUCCGCAAUGGACGAAAGUCUGACGGAGCAACGCCGCGUGAGUGAUGAAGGUUUUCGGAUCGUAAAGCUCUGUUGUUAGGGAAGAACAAGUGCGAGAGUAACUGCUCGCACCUUGACGGUACCUAACCAGAAAGCCACGGCUAACUACGUGCCAGCAGCCGCGGUAAUACGUAGGUGGCAAGCGUUGUCCGGAAUUAUUGGGCGUAAAGGGCUCGCAGGCGGUUUCUUAAGUCUGAUGUGAAAGCCCCCGGCUCAACCGGGGAGGGUCAUUGGAAACUGGGAAACUUGAGUGCNNANGNNAGUGGAAUUCCACGUGUAGCGGUGAAAUGCGCGACUCUCUGGUCUGUAACUGACGCUGAAGAGCGAAAG